CCACAGCCUUCAGUUGUUUUAUCAGCAUACCGGUAGUUAUUUUACUCUGAAAAUGUAUACUGCAGUUCAAAUAAUGGUUCGUUGGAGUUACACUAUUUUAGACACUAUAUAAGUAUGUAUUAUCAUAGAUUGCUACAAUUAUUCAGCCCAUCGAAGAUCGGAUUAAACUAUCGCCCUUGGUCCUUCACAAACUAUAGUAUGCGCGGAGCAUAUUUACUGUGACACGACGAGGCUCCGUGGAUUAGAUGAUUUCUUGACUUGGUGUCUGUUGUCUACUUGGUUGAGUUGAGACAAAUAAAGAGGGAGAUGGCAGUGCCAGCGGCCGGGGGCGUAGACCUCAGUCGGAAAUUUGUGUCAGAGACUGUGAUCGAGGAGAAGAGGAAGCAAAUCCAGGAGGAAUGGGAAAAAGUUAGGAAGCCAGAGGACCCAGAGGAGGCUCCUGAGGAAGAGUAUGAUGGGCGUUCACUCUUUGAGCGGCUACAGGAGCAGAAGGACAAGAAGCAGGAGGAGUAUGAUGAGCAGUUUAAAUUCAAGAACAUGGUCAAAGGCCUGGAUGAGGAUGAGUCUCACUUCUUGGAUGAGGUCUCCAGGCAACAGAGCCUGGUGGAGAAACAACGCAGAGAUGAGGAGCAGCAUGAGCUAAAAGAGUACAGAAGUGCUCUGAAAAAGCUGGCAUCCAGUGAGAGUCGGAAGGAGCCAGAGAGGAGAGUGGGACCGAGACCAGCUGAGGUCAAGACCAGUCACCUGUCCCAGGCCCAUCUGUUGGCCGGGGCAGUCAAGCGACGCAGCUCAUCACAGUCCUCAGACAAUAGCAAGAAACAGAAGGUUGAGGAGUCUGCAGCAUGGAAUGGGGGCCAGACAGGAGGCGGGCGGAGAUGCGGGUAAGCAGACCUCCACAGUAAAGACGACAGGCAUCCUCCACCUGCCAUCGGCCGCCGUGUGUGUAGGCAUCCUGCCGGGCCUGGGAGCCUAUUCCGGCAGCAGUGACUCUGAGUCCAGUAGCGACAGCGAAGCCUAACCUGAUGACAUCCCCCUGCGGCUGCAAGCUGUGUGCUAUUGGCCAAGGGAACAGUGACUGACAGCUUGGGAUCAAGGACAGGACUGCCACAUCACAUUCAUACCAAACCUUAGAAAACAUCAAGAAAGCAAGCCUGAGCUUUGUGGGCAGUCUCAGAUGCAAUGUGUGUGGAAAUAUUUUUCCUUUUAUUUUUGUGUAUUUUUGAAUGUGUCAGUGCAAAUAAUUCUGGAUUUGAAUGGACUUCUCUCCAUUGAAAUGUGUGUUUUGCUCAUUGGAAGGUCGAGGCUUGGGGAGAAGAAAGCAAAGCGUUUUCUUUGUGUAUUUGGUGUGAAGAGUUGAAUAAUGAAUGAAUGAUAAAUGGAAUGGAAUACAGUUUGAAUAAAAUGGAAGUGAUUUCUGUUUGUACUCAUUCACGUGAAGUCUAUAACCAAUAAGAAUAGAAUGUAGGAAUAGGUUUCUCAGGGUGCUCUUUGUAGGAAGCCUUGUUGGUAUUGCAUACACAUCUUAAGAAAAUCCUCUCAAUUGGAUAAAGUGAAGAGUUGAUUUUAACCAGGCAUAUCCAGGAUAAGGUUGUAGUGAUUGUUUCUUUUUGAAAUGUUCAAGCAGAAUGAAUUCAUUGUGUUGCCUCGACCUUAUGUUUCAGUCAAGCACACAGCACAGUGACAUUUCUGUAUGUUUAUUGACCUGAGUGGUAACGAAUACAUGGUGAACAUUAUAAAAUCAAUAACGUCUUCAAGGUACAGUACAAGUACAACAAAUUACAAUUCACUGCAUAAAAGGUACAGAAAAACUUUUCAUAAACAGUUUCUUUUGAAAACAGAACAUUGUAUAAAUUUACAUUCAGGGUAGAGUAUCUGCAUUUCUAAUUUUCUCUUCAGGGGACUGCAAAGUAGUAUUCUUUGACACAUACUGUAUUUCUCUUCCACAAAGUCUUGCUUUCAGAUAAGGUUAAAAAAUCAGAUGAAUAAAUAUUAAAAAACCUUUUCAUGCA